rnacentral:rRNA from 1 species
ACGAACGCUGGCGGCGUGCUUAACACAUGCAAGUCGAACGGAAAGGCCCUGCCUUUGUGGGGUGCUCGAGUGGCGAACGGGUGAGUAACACGUGAGUAACCUGCCCUUGACUUUGGGAUAACUUCAGGAAACUGGGGCUAAUACCGGAGAGGAGCUCCUGCUGCAGGGUGGGGGUUGGAAAGUUUCGGCGGUUGGGGAUGGACUCGCGGCUUAUCAGCUUGUUGGUGGGGUAGUGGCUUACCAAGGCUUUGACGGGUAGCCGGCCUGAGAGGGUGACCGGCCACAUUGGGACUGCGAUACGGCCCAGACUCCUACGGGAGGCAGCAGUGGGGAAUAUUGCACAAUGGGCGGAAGCCUGAUGCAGCAACGCCGCGUGCGGGAUGACGGCCUUCGGGUUGUAAACCGCUUUCGCCUGUGACGAAGCGUGAGUGACGGUAAUGGGUAAAGAAGCCCCGGCUAACUACGUG